rnacentral:rRNA from 1 species
ACUCCUACGGGAGGCAGCAGUGGGGAAUAUUGGACAAUGGGCGCAAGCCUGAUCCAGCCAUGCCGCGUGUGUGAAGAAGGCCUUAUGGUUGUAAAGCACUUUAAGCGAGGAGGAGGCUACUUUAGUUAAUACCUAGAGAUAGUGGACGUUACUCGCAGAAUAAGCACCGGCUAACUCUGUGCCAGCAGCCGCGGUAAU